rnacentral:rRNA from 1 species
UACGGGGGGGGCAAGCGUUGUCCGGAAUCAUUGGGCGUAAAGAGCGUGUAGGCGGUCCUGUAAGUCCGCUGUGAAAGUCAAGGGCUCAACCCUUGAAUGCCGGUGGAUACUGCAGGACUAGAGUCCGGAAGAGGCGAGUGGAAUUCCUGGUGUAGCGGUGAAAUGCGCAGAUAUCAGGAGGAACACCAAUGGCGAAGGCAGCUCGCUGGGACGGUAUUGACGCUGAGACGCGAAAGCGUGGGGAGCAAACAGG